UACGGAGGGUGCAAGCGUUAUCCGGAUUCACUGGGUUUAAAGCGUGCGCAGGCGGUUUUGUAAGCCAGAUGUGAAAUCCCCGGGCUUAACCUGGGAAUGGCAUUUGGGACUGCAAGGCUCGAGUGCGGCAGAGGAGACUGGAAUUCCUGGUGUAGCAGUGAAAUGCGUAGAUAUCAGGAGGAACACCGAUGGCGAAGGCAGGUCUCUGGGCUGACACUGACGCUCAUGCACGAAAGCGUGGGGAGCAAACAGG
rnacentral:rRNA from 1 species